UACGUAGGUCCCGAGCGUUGUCCGGAUUUAUAGGGCGUAAAGCGAGCGCAGGUGGUUUAUUAAGUCUGGUGUAAAAGGCAGUGGCUCAACCAUUGUAUGCAUUGGAAACUGGUAGACUUGAGUGCAGGAGAGGAGAGUGGAAUUCCAUGUGUAGCGGUGAAAUGCGUAGAUAUAUGGAGGAACACCGGUGGCGAAAGCGGCUCUCUGGCCUGUAACUGACACUGAGGCUCGAAAGCGUGGGGAGCAAACAGG
rnacentral:rRNA from 1 species